UACGGAAGGCAGCAGGGGGGAAUAUUGCACAAUGGGCGCAAGCCUGAUGCAGCCAUGCCGCGUGUAUGAAAAAGGCCUUCGGGUUGUAAAGUACUUUCAGUCGUGAGGAAGGUGUUAAGGUUAAUAACCUUAGCAAUUGACGUUAGCGACAGAAGAAGCACCGGCUAACUCCGUGCCAGCAGCCGCGGUAAUACGGAGGGUGCGAGCGUUAAUCGGAAUUACUGGGCGUAAAGGGCACGCAGGCGGUUAAUUAAGUUGGAUGUGAAAUCCCCGGGCUUAACCUGGGAAUGGCAUUCAAGACUGGUUAGCUAGAGUCUUGUAGAGGGGGUAGAAUUCCAUGUGUAGCGGUGAAAUGCGUAGAGAUGUGGAGGAAUACCGGUGGCGAAAGGCGGCCCCUGGACAAAGACUGACGCUCAUGUGCGAAAGCGUGGGGAGCAAAACAGGGAUUAGAUACC
rnacentral:rRNA from 1 species